AUUCAAUCAAAAUUCAUGUGUUUAAUAACAACAUUUCCAUUAUUCCCACAAUUCAAUCAAAUUUCAUGGGUUUAACAACAACAUUUUCAUUUUUCACACAAUUCAAUCAAAUUUCUUGGGUUUAACAUCAACAUUUCAUCAUUUCCACCAUUCAAUCAAUUUCAUAGAUUUAAAAACAACAUUUUCAUCAUUCCCACAAGUCAAUCAAAAUUCAUGGGUUUAACAUCAUCAUUUUCAUCAUUCACACAGUUCAAUCAAAUUUCAUGGGUUUAACAUCAACAUUUCAUCAUUUCCACAAUUCAAUCAAAUUUUAU
rnacentral:lncRNA from 1 species